rnacentral:rRNA from 1 species
CCCUUAGAUGUUCUGGGCCGCACGCGCGCUACACUGACGGAUUCAACGAGCUUACAGCCUUGGCCGAAAGGUCUGGGUAAUCUCCAAAAUCCGUCGUGAUGGGGAUAGAUUAUUGCAAUUAUUAAUCUUCAACGAGGAAUGCCUAGUAAGCGCAAGUCAUCAGCUUGCGUUGAUUACGUCCCUGCCCUUUGUACACACCGCCCGUCGCUCCUACCGAUUGAAUGGUCCGGUGAAGCGUUUGGACUAUGGUUUUCUGAUGGUCCGCCGUUGGAUUACCGUGGGAAGUUCGUUAAACCUUAUCAUUUAGAGGAAGGAGAAGUCGUAACA